rnacentral:lncRNA from 1 species
AAACUCAAAGCCACCAGAUCUGAACUCCAUCGCAUCAAAUUGAUAGGGAAGCGCAGAAACCAUGAUGUAGAUGAUGGUGAUCCUUUGCACCCACGACAAGAUAGUUCUUUAAGAUUCUUCAUAAGAAAAAUCGACGAUGGAGGUUGCCUUAUAGCUGUACCACUUAUAUCAAGUUUUUCCAAACUUUCUACUUGCCCAAGCGUCUCAGGCACAUUUUCAAGUUUGAAGCAGCCUGAGAGAUUCAAAGUUUUGAGGGAUUUCAAACCAUUUAUAUUGCUAUGAAGUCUCACGAGACUUCUGCAGUCAUUCAAAUUUAACAAUUCAAGUCUGGUCAAAAGCUCAAUAGAUAAAGGGAGUUCUUUGAUAUCAAUUCCAUCCAAACGAAGUUCCUGCAGACACUCCAUACCUCCUACAAUGUCUGGAAAUUUCUUUAAUUUCAAGCAACCAGAUAGAAUAAGCGUUUUAAGAGAUUCCAUAAAAAUCUUGCCUGGAAGAGUUGUAAGACUUGUACAGCCUUUCAAAUUCAACAAGAUCAGCUCCUUGUGAAGCAGCAAAGAUGGGUGAAUUUCACGUAACCUUGUACAUCCUUCAAGAUCCAACACCUCUAAGUUUGGGACCUUUGUGAAGUCUGGUGUCUUAAUCAGAUUCUCCGAAUGGCUGAGUUUCAUGACUCUCAACAUGUUUAAAGGCUGUUGAAAAUAAAAAGGAAAAUAAAUGAUAUUUCUUAAUUCAUAUACUACUAUAAUAAUAAAAUUGUUACCAACAAUUAUUCACUGAAAAAUAUAAAUUAGUGACAAAAAAAAAAUUAAUCUUACUUUGAAUCCUUUCCAUAAUUCUUCAAUGCGGCUGUCACACAUUUUAAAUUCAACAAUUUUAUCCAAUUGCAGAUUUGAUGGCAAAGAUUUCAAAGGAUACCGAUGCCAAUCAAGUAAUCGCAACCUGUUAGAGAGGUAUUCUAGACCUUCAGGAAGUUGCACAUUACUGAUUUUGAGCAAUCUUAGGUUGGUCAUCAGUGAAAAUGCUUUAGCACUUAAAUGCACAUCAUUUCCACGAAAGAAAUAAUCAUCAACCAUUAUUCCUUCAACUACUUCACUUCCCUGAAAAUUAUAAACAAAUUUGUUCGUUAGAGAUUUAACUAGCUAAAAGAAGUGAGCUGAGCUGGAAAAUAAAUACUUUUAGAUCCCCUUUAUUAUUCACUUACUGCAUUUUGUGACAACACAUGGUGUACAUCUGCUUCCUUCCACAAUCUACUGCGUUUUCCAGGCUCGUCGGGGGAUUGUCUCCUAACAAUUUGGUGACCCAUUUCUUGUAUCAAAUCAUGCAUCCACAAUCUGUUAUUCUCAUGUACUGUUAAUAAAGAUUUUUCUAUAAGAACUUCUAUUCCAAUGACUGGGGAAAAACCACAUCCCUCUAGAAUUUUCGAUACAUAAUCUCUAGUCUUCCAUUUAAAGAAACAUGCAAUAUCGAGAAAUAUUUUCUUCUCUAAUUCUUGUAGUCCGUCAAAACUUAUUUGAAGUAUACUCAUAAUCUUAUUGGGAGGCUCUAUUUGUAGCCUUUCCAAGGUGCUUCUCCAUUGAUCCACGGAUCUACCAUUCAAAAAGGAACCCAAAACUUCGAGAGCUAACGGAAGACCACCGGCAUACCGUAGAACACGUUCAGACAGCUGCACAAAUUCUUCAAGAGGCUUUUGGAUUUUAAAAGCUUUCAUGUUGAAAAGUUGAAGAGCAUCAUGGUAAUUUAGUUCAUUAGGCUUAUAUACUUCAUCCAUUCCAUGUGUCCUUAAUAGAUGUUCAUCUCGCGAUGUUACGAUGAUCCUACUGCCUGAACCAAACCACUCACGCUUUCCAGCUAAAUACUCUAAUUGCUUUAUGUCAACCACAUCAUCGAUAACAAGAAGAACCUUUUUGUGUUGCAGCCUGCUUCCUAAAAUGUUGAUGCCAUCACCGACAUUCCAUAUGCUAUCUUUUUCAAGCUUCAAUAUUUCGUAAAGGAGUUGCCUUUGAAAAGAGAUUACACUGCCUUCGUUUUCAAAUUUUUCUCUAACAUCGGCAAGAAAACUACUCCCUUCAAAUUCAUGAGAGAUCAAGUCAUAAACAACUCUUGCAAGAGUCGUCUUACCUAAACCUCCCAUACCACAAAUGCCUAUCAUACGAACAUCAUCAUUAGGCCCUUCAUCCAUAAGAGACCUCAAUUCUUCCAAGCGUGAAUCUAUUCCCACUAGCUUCUUAAGAGUCUCUGAUUUUACAGGAAUUUUACUUGAUAUCGCCUUGACAAUAUCCCAAAUAAAUUCUGACUCAUUCCUACAGUUAAAGAACAAAGAAAGAUCAGUAUGGUUAAAUUACAGUGAGUCUGAAUGCGGUAUUAAAUAAAUUUAGUAAUAGAAAAAGCCCAAAAUAUGCAAUAUUCGUUGGACAAAAUUGAAGUAAUGUAAGAUGUUGUUACAUAUGGCUAAUCUUUAGGUGCGUUCGAAUUUUACUUGAUAUCGCCUUGACAAUAUCCCAAAUAAAUUCCGACUCAUUCCUGCAGUUAAAGAACAAAGAAAGAUCAGUAUGGUUAAAUUACAGUGAGUCUAAAUUUAGUAAUAGAAAAAACCCAAAAUAUGCAAUAUUCGUUUGAAAAAUUGAAUUAAUGUAAGAUGUUGCUACAUAUGGCUAAUCUUUAGGUGCGUUCAUGUAAAUAUCUGCAUCCAUCUAUACCACUUUUGUUUGCAAAUAUUCGUAUAUGGAGCGAUUAUUCAAUUAGUGCACAUCAUAUCGUACACAUAUUGAAUAAAAGUUGUUUAAUUGACAACAGUAUGCUGAUUAAAGCUAUUUCAAAUGAUCUACAUAAUAAUAAGAAUGGCUACCUGUACUCUUUCAAUUCCCAGCCAGAAAUAUUAGCCACCUCUUUCAAAGCGUCUCUCCAAUUUUUCACCUUUUCUAGAUUCUCCCUAUAAGCUUCUUCAUGUUUAGAAAAAGCUUCUCGAAAACUUCCCGUUUGUUUCCUUACCACAGUGGGUUCAACAUCAUAGAAAAUUGGAAAAACCAUUUGUUGAUGAUCGUUUUUGUUCUUGCAUUGAACAAUCUUAACAAGUUCAUCCAAGCACCAAGUGGAGGAAGCAUAGUUUUGAGAGAAAACAAUAAUUGAAAUUCUAGAAUCUUCAAUUGCAUUAAGAAGUCCAGGUGAAAUGGAUGUUCCUCUCUCGAGUUCUUUGUCAUCCUUGAAUACAUAAAUUCCUUUUCCAUUCAAAGCAGCAUAGAGAUGACUUAUGAAGCUUUUACGGGUGUCUGCUCCUCUAAAGCUUAAAAAGGCAUCAUAUGGCCAAUGAGGCAUAUUUUGUAUGCUCGAGGAAGCCAUUACAAUAUUAAUUUGUUCUGAAAUUUUUUUUAAAAAAAAGAAAUGAUUGCCUAGGGACAAUACUAUGUAAACAACAACAUUUAUCUAGAGUUAUGGAUUAUCUCAAAGUGUCAAAGUCGUAUACACUAGAUUAGGGAGUGUUUGGUGCACUACAUUAUGUCGCAAUACUAUGUUUUAGUGUAGUAUGUACAAUAGUGUUUAUUUAAAUAUUUUAUACUAAUAUUAUUAUCAAAUUUUAUUAUUUGACUAAUAAAAUUUAAAAAUUUAUUAAUAAAUAAUACUUAAUUAUAUUGCUUGAGCUUUAUUGCGUAGCAAUAUUACAUUAACCUUUAAAACAGUGCCAUAUUUAUUGCGGUAUAUGCAUGAUCUUGUUUAUCUAAAUUUUUUUAUAAUAUUAUUUUAUUAAAUUUAUUGGUUAAAUUCAUUAUUAAAAUAAACACUUCAUUAAUGAAGUAGUUCUAUUUCUAUUUAAGUAAAUUAUAAAUCUCUCUAAAGAAAGUAAAUUAUAAAUGUGUUAAGUAAUAAAAUAAUUGAUUAAAAUUAUUUUUACAUAAUAAAAGUAAAAUAUAAAAAUGAUUUUAUAUAAUAAAAGUAAAAAAAGUGUGUAAUUAUUUAUAUUAAAUUCAUAUUAUUUGGAUUUAUUUAUAUUUAAUUAUAUUAUUUGAUUUAAAUAUCUUAUUUAAAUUUAGGUAAAAUGACACUUACACCCCAAGAUUUGGGAAAAAAAGGUUGUGUAGACACCAUAUUUUCAAUAAGAAACACUAAAAUCCUCUUUUAACUAUGAUACCAUUUAGCUCUAAUAACUCAAAAAAAUUAAUAUCAAUGUUUUAUAAUUAAUAUAAAUAUGAUAUUAAAUAAAUGUAACAAUAUCUAUUAAAAAAUAUUUGUAAUAAAUAGAAUUAUAAUAUUAAGAUAAAUAUAUAAAAAUAAUUUUAAUAUUAUUAAUACAUGAAAUCAUUUUUUUUAAUUGUAACUNNNNNNNNNNNNNNNNNNNNNNNNNNNNNNNNNNNNNNNNNNNNNNNNNNNNNNNNNNNNNNNNNNNNNNNNNNNNNNNNNNNNNNNNNNNNNNNNNNNNNNNNNNNNNNNNNNNNNNNNNNNNNNNNNNNNNNNNNNNNNNNNNNNNNNNNNNNNNNNNNNNNNNNNNNNNNNNNNNNNNNNNNNNNNNNNNNNNNNNNNNNNNNNNNNNNNNNNNNNNNNNNNNNNNNNNNNNNNNNNNNNNNNNNNNNNNNNNNNNNNNNNNNNNNNNNNNNNNNNNNNNNNNNNNNNNNNNNNNNNNNNNNNNNNNNNNNNNNNNNNNNNNNNNNNNNNNNNNNNNNNNNNNNNNNNNNNNNNNNNNNNNNNNNNNNNNNNNNNNNNNNNNNNNNNNNNNNNNNACAGCAGAUUUUUUUAUAAUAAAUACAAAUAUAUUAGUAAAAUAUAAUAAUUUACAUUUUUUAAAAUUAUUUUAUUUUUAAAAUAUUCUAAUAUUAUUGGUCUAUUAGAAAAAUUAAAAUAUUAAAUUAUAUAUGUAUUUAUUAAAAAUUGUUAAAGUCAAUGUUUUUAGUUACUAUCUACAAAAGUAGUAUAGCUGAAAAAAUUUUUGGCGUCCUUUAUUAAAAAUUUGAGACUUUACAUAACUAUUUCCUUAAAUUUCUAACUAGAUUAUAACUUAUUAUUUUAAUAAACAGUUAAAUGCUAAAAUACAAUUUUUGAAGUAAUUUUUAAAUAAUAAUAUUCAAUGUCAGAUUGAAUUAGAAUUCUCUUAUGAUUUAAUAUGUGAUUGGUGGUUAAUAUAAAAUGAAAAUAAAGAAGUUCAAUAGGUACCUCUUUGUAUGUUGUUUUAUAAAAGAUUUAUCUACAAUAACUUAAAAGAAAUCAGAGUUACAUAUUUAUCACCAAAAAAAUAAAAACAAAAAUAUUAAGGCAAUAACUAAUCAUCGAAACUAUAUAUAAGCAAAGAGAUUUUGAGAGAGAAACUGAAACUUUUUCAUUUCCUUUCAACAACCCGAUAAAAAUGGACAAAUAUAUAAUAAUUGUAUUCUUUUUUUCAGACCUCGACGGGGAGGGUGAAUUUGAUUAAAAAUAAUUGACAAUAAAUUGGCCCAAAUAUUUUUAAAGUAAAAAUUUAUUGAAAUAAAAAGUUAUUAAACUUGACAAUGGUUCUGAAUUCAAAUUAAUGAUCUUAUUCUCAAACAAACUAAACAGAUAAUCCAUCAGCUUCUCAAUUACUCUCUUUACCAAAAAGAAAAUUAAAAUUAUACAUAAUAAAUCCCAAAAUGUAAAGUAUUUGUUUUUCAAGUGCCGAUUUGAGAGUGUGUACACCGAUCUCUACUUGAGCAAAUCUUGAUUAAAGCCUCUUAGAGGAGUUUGUACAAAAUUAACAUUAAAGAAUUUCUUUCAAUUUUAUCAUUAUUUAUUUGUUUUUAAACAUUAAGAUAUACAAAUUAAUUCUGAAAAUAAGAGAGAGAGAGAUGUAUAAGAUCGAACUUACGGCUUUUGAGUGUAUUGUAGGACGCUAGUUAAAUGAACUCCGAUGCAGUAUUUGAUUCAAAGAAUUUAAUCGUGCAAAUAUAUUCUUUUGGCGAAAAAUAAAGCAAUCAGCAAAUAUGUAUGUAUUUCCAAAAGCAAGUCUUCGACAAAAAGUGACUUUCUUAAUAAUUAAUAGACAUUUGUCACUGUUUACUCACAUGAUGGAGUUACCAUCAAACUUGCUGGAAGCUUCAAGGAAUCUAAGCGAAGAUUAUCUGGCUUUUCAAUUGAUGACGCGUCCAAGCCACUCUGCCCAUUAGCCACGUUGAAACCAUUGGAUUCCAUUAAAAUGGAAUGGCAUCCAACGGUUGAUAUUAAUAAUUAAUUAAAAAUAGUUAAAACUACUAGCAACCUAUAAGAAUGGUAAAUCUUUAUUAGUUAAAUUUCAGUUGGAUCCCUAAAAGAUGUUGGAUUCUUUUGGUAACAUUGUAGUUUUUUUAAACUAAUUAUUGUUAAUUGAAUUAUAGAAAUAAUCAACUAUAAAGAUAAUCAAUCAAACAUUCGAUACGAAUUUCAAAAAUUUUGUAAGUUUAAAAAACAGUCGUAUGUACUUGAUAAAUCUUAUUAUUAAACUAUCAUAAGAUUGUAAAUUGGAUUAUUUUGGUAAUAUUGUAGUUUUUUAAACUAAUUAUUGUUAACUGAAUUAUAGAAAUAAUCAACUAUAAAGAUAAUCAAUCAAACAUUCGAUACGAAUUUCAAAAAUUUUGUAAGUUUAAAAAACAGUCGUAUGUACUUGAUAAAUCUUAUUAUUAAACUAUCAUAAGAUUGUAAAUGACAAGAAUGUAAAUGAUUAAGCUAGACAUAAUUUUGAAUAAAAUUUAUUUACAUAUUUAUAAAUAUGUAUAUAAAAUAUUUUUUCGUGUGUAUAUAUAAUAUUUGAUAACUAAAGUAAAUAUUUUAUAUUAUCAAUUUUAUUUUUUAUUUUGUUAUCUCAAUAUAAUUGAUGAUAAUAAUAGUAAUCUCUUUAAAAUUAAUGAUUUUAUUUCCUAGUUAAUAAAGAUAAUUCAAUAUAAACACUAUCAAUAAAUUUAAAAAGUCAAUUUAUGGUAAUGAAAAUAAAUAUGCAAAAUAAUGAACAUCCACAACACGAAGAUCUUUUUACGAGGGAACCUUUGAUCCUCACGAUUUAAGACAAAAAUCUUGAUAUAUUAUUAUGUCCACUUGUAGACAAAAUAAUUUACUAUGAAAAUAAUGUGAGUUUACAAUGGAUCAAGAACACAUACAAAGCUUCGCAAUCCUAAACAUCUCAAGUCUAAAUCCUAUUGUGCCAACCCUCACAGACUAAAACACAUUAUCUAAAAUACGUUUGAACAUUUUCUAAGUGGAUUUAGGUGGAUAGCCUUACCAAGACUUAGGUCUUGGGUUUGAGUCUCAUGUAGUAUAGUCUUAUAGACUUUAAUUCGGUGCUCUAAGGAAUCUCCUAUUGUUCCUAUCUAAGUUUCUUUGCCGUAUUCACCAGUGCAUUUUAUUCAUUGCAAAGAUGCCUUAUUUUUUAUUGCUAAUGCUAUUGGUAAGCCUCUGUGAGUAGACCAUGCUACUAUUGCUGUUAAUCGACCCUCGGUCGCUAGAGUUCUAAUUGAGUUGGAUGUUUCGUGGCCGUUGUUGCCCAAACUUUGGAUUGAAGGUGAUGGCGGUUUCUAGUAGAAUGUCAUUUUUAAGCAUGUUCCUUUAUAUUGUGCCUCGUGUAAACAUCUUGGGCACUCUGCUGAUACUUGUUUUGUUGCCAAUCCUGGGCUCUGGGAACCUUGGCAGCCUAUUAGUCAGGUGCAGGAUACUGUUGUUCAUGAUAAAAGCAAGAUGUGGAUGUCUGAUGCUGCUGUGCAUCCAAAGGGGAUGGCGAAGAGGUUCAGCCAUUGAGGCCUAAUGGUAGUGAGGGUGCUCCUCUAGAUGCUCAAUCACUUAUUUAUUAGGAUACUGCAGAAGAUGGGUUUGAUCUGGUUUCUAUGAAAAGAAUUCAAACUGAUGAUGGUUUGAAGGAUCCUACUACUUUAGGAGAUGCUGCUGGAUGCACUGAGGUCUCUAACCCUCCUUUUUUAGAUGAUCCGAGUGUUCAGAGGGCUUCCACUGACGCUACUUUUUUUUGAGUUGCUGAAGAGGAUAUUCGCUCCAUGAUCGUGGGCUUCAAACCCCAUUCUACAGACAUCCUUUUUCAGUUUGAUGAGAAUUUUAGCUUUGAUGGGAAUCCUGUGACUAAUGAAUAUUUUGCAUAUGAGCCUAAGGGUACUAGAGGGCAUGAUCUUGAUGACUUUCGUGUUGCCGGGCCGCAUGCCUCUGUUCUAAGAAAGGUUUCACAUUAGUUACUAGCCGCAAGAAUUGGAAGCGAUUCUCUAGGCGGUUGCAUUAAUUAGUCCUAUCUUCCAUUGCUUUUGUUAUUUUUCCUGUUAUUGGAUGUAUUUGUUCCCAUACUUCGAGGUUUUGGCAUAUGUCUCUCUCCAUAUGAAUUUUAUUUUAUUUUAUUAAUUUACUAGUGAAGGGUCCCGCCUAACCCCACACUCCACCUUAAGGUGGUUUUUAAUUUUAAAAAAAAUCCUUAUAGUCCUCACAAUUUUUUUUCUAUGUGAAUCAAGCAUCAAAAUCUGCUCACAAGAAAAAUCUAAGAGUAAAUUGAUAUUGGAUGUGAGAGAAUCCGUCUUGAAUUUAACACCUUCAAUCUCAAAGACCUUGCAUCAACGAACAUGAUGGAGCUAAAGACAAGAGAAUAAAAUAAAUGCUAAUUUGAUUCUUGAUGUCUGACAAUAACAUAGUUUGCACUCAUUAAAAUUCCAAUUUAAAACAUUUGCUUCUAACCCUUAAGAAAAGUAUUUCUCCAAAAUCUAGGGUUUAAAAAUAAAUUUUAAAAAAUAAAUUUUAAGGACAUAAAAAUAAGAAGUCACUCACUCAAUUCUUCUCCAAGAUAAAAUUUUUUGGCCUUAGCACUUGUACGCUCGCUCGAAAUCGACGGCCGGUGGAGCUUAAAAUGAUGCUUUUACAUUUCAAAGAGAUGGGGGAAUUGCUAUUGGAUCCACCAAAUUGGAUUAAAUCAAUGGGUUGAAGUAGUGGAGUACGUGGCAGCUUCAGAACCCUUGGACGGCGUUCCAUGAUCAAAAUGAUGGUCCGGAUACAAAGUCAGCCACCCAGUAACCUAACACACGCGGAUCAACGGCCAACAGGACACGUCACACACAUCCUGCGGUCCAACCAAACGCGGGUUGAUAUCGGGUCAAACCCGUAUUCAGCGGACGGACCUACGUGAGGUCGCAUUCAGAAUCAGAGGUCAAUCAAGUUGAGUCAACAGAAAAGUCGAUAAAGAUGCAUCAUAACUCCGUACAGCAAAUUACACAAGAUUCCAAUCUCCCUCAAAAUCUGUCGGGGGACUCAAAAUGGAUAAAAUAAUAAUUUUUCUCCUAAUGAUUUUGAGCAUAAAGUUUUCACAAAUUUUAAUACAUUGGACAUUUUAAUUUUAUUUGAAAUGAAGUGCUAUUAGUAAAUGGUUCUUAAAUAAUCAUAAUCAGCACACAACCAGCAAAUUGAAGGAGCAGAAAACCAAGAGAACAAACUUCCUCUUAAAAUUCAUUCAAUUGAAUUUUAUAUGUGAAAAAAAAUAAUACAUAAAUAUGUAAGACAAAUAUUCUUGCAAAGCAAACGCUGAGAUAUGAGUAAAAUUAAAAAUGUAAGAAAAUUAACUGGCAUUUUUGAGCUUAUUGGAAGCAAUAAAGAUCGUAAAUUUUUACUUGAACUUCUAAUUAAGGUUUUAUUUGAAAUUGAGGUUGGGAAGCUAUAAUUUUUAAACUACAAUACUAAAGUGUUUAAUAAAUAUUAAAUAUUAUAUCCUGAAAAUUAAGUUGUAUAAUGAAAAAUUUAUUAUAUUUUUAUUAAUUUUGUAAAAAUUAUUAUUUAAAAAUUAUAUUCAUUAUAUAUUAUUAAUUUUUAUCUUAUAAUUAUAAAUUUUUUAAUAAUUUAAAACUAAAAAAUUACAGUAUCUCGAUAUGAAAGAAGACCUAACUUUCUUUCAAAGAAAUCAAUGAAAGAAAUGUUUUGUGUUCUAAUUAAUUUCUAAAAAACAAAAAGUGUAAUCAAAAGUGUAUGCCGAAAGAAAUUACGAAGAACGAUCAUGAUCUUCUUUAGUGGUGCAUGAAAUCAACGAUAUGGUAGACAUGAUGUUGAGGAAAGCAAUGAUUUCGUUUAGUAUUUUAUCAAGGGCGGCUUCAAUGUAAUUGUAUUUUAUAAGCCAUACCAAUGCAUAAUUUUUAGGCAUAAUUUUAGCAACAGGUGAGAGACAGUGUAAGAAACUAACAUGAGGCCAUCUACUACAGUACUUGUCUGACAGUGACAUAUUCUGCAACCCCACGGAAAAAAAAAAAAAGUGAGUAAAUAAACAAAAUAAAAAGACAUAACAUCUAUUGCAUAAGUUUUAGGCAUAAUGUUAGCACAGGUGAGAGUGAGAGACUGACCUCAGAAUUUUUAAUGUUGCCAAAUCAUAGUUGCCAGUCAAUUUCAAGCAAUCCACACACUCAAGGCUUAACAACGGGAGUCGAUGCUCGUUUAAUUUUAAUACAUCUGAUAAUGUCUCCAACGACACACAACCAUCUAACAAAAUCCAUUGUAUACUGGCUGGAAGUCGAGGAAGAGUUUGAAGCAUUUUGCAUUCCUCUAAUUCAAUCUCCUGAAGAUUAGAAAGACGGUAGAUGCUUGCCGGUAGCGAAACAAAACUGUUUCUACUCAAACAUAACUUUUCUAAUGAGCAUAAGUCGCCAAUACUACUUGGGAUUGCUCCUUCCCCUAGGUCAUAGUCACUGAUAUCCAAUUUCGUUAAACUACACAAACCUGACAGAGAAGACGGCAAACUCAAAGCCACCGGAUCUGAACUCCAUCGCAUCAAAUUGAUAGGAGAGCGCAGAAACCAUGAUGCAGAUGAUGGUGAUCCUUUGCACCCACGACAAGAUAGUUCUUUAAGAUUCUUCAUAAGAAAAAUCGACGAUGGAGGUUGCCUUAUAGCUGUACCACUUAUAUCAAGUUCUUCCAGACUUUCUACUUGCCCAAGCGUCUCAGGCACAUUUUCAAGUUUGAAGCAGCCUGAGAGAUUCAAAGUUUUGAGGGAUUUCAAACCAUUUAUACUGCUAGGAAGUCUCACGAGACUUCUGCAGUCAUUCAAAUUCAACCAUUGAAGUUUGGUCAAAAGCUC